UGCAAAAGAAGACCAAAUUUCGCUAACUCCUUGGUCUUGGAAUACGGAUACAUAUUAACAGAAUGUAAAGAAGAAUGGACAACUGCAUGAAAAAUAGAACUCUUCAGCCAGUAACAGAAAUCUACUUCACUGAUCACUAGAGGGAAGGAAGUGAGGUUUGCACAUGAAGAUUUCUAGAUUACAAAAACUUGCAAGAAUCUUGAGUAAGAGGAAUAAGGAAUUUCCCUCCAGUUACCAAAACCAGGGAUAGUUCCAGAAAUCUGAAGUGUUCUAGAAUACUGAAGUUCCAACAUUGUCUUCUCAUGAAAAAGCCUGAAGAGCGAGCUGCAAGGUGGAAGAGAACUCGUGGGCUGAUUUACAAACACAUUACCAGAGAAGCUUGAGCAAUCAGGUACAAAGAAACACAAUACCUCGGCCAUACUGGUCUGCUCAGAUGACAUGCACAGCUAAAGGGAAGCUGAAAUAACAUUUGCUUUGGAUCUCAACUUUGCCUUCAUGACAUUGGUAGGAGUGAACUAUAUGCUGAUACCUGAAGUACCAGGAAGCAAACUGAUGAAGCCCUGAAACAGAGUAGAGCUAGCCAAUGACACAGAGCUGUGAAGUUUCUGUUUUGAGAAUACAGCUGCCCUAACUCAUUGAACAUUCUGCGUAGGUGCAGCAUAAGAUCUUGCUUUUGCCUUAGACCUAGUCACAUCUCAUUAACCCUGCUCCUACUAACCUUGCUCCCUAACCUCUUGGCUGCACCUCUCUUCUUCCUGAGAACUGGGGUAAGGUUGAGAGGGCCGGGGGGAGGUGUUGGGGUGGUUUGAG